rnacentral:rRNA from 1 species
UGAGAUGGGCUCGCGUCUGAUUAGCUAGUUGGUGGGGUAAAGGCCUACCAAGGCGACGAUCAGUAGCCGGACUGAGAGGUUGAACGGCCACAUUGGGACUGAGACACGGCCCAGACUCCUACGGGAGGCAGCAGUGGGGGAUAUUGCACAAUGGGGGAAACCCUGAUGCAGCAACGCCGCGUGAGUGAUGAAGGUUUUCGGAUCGUAAAGCUCUGUCUUUGGGGAAGAUAAUGACGGUACCCAAGGAGGAAGCCACGGCUAACUAC